CUUGUCUUUUACGACGCGCAAAUUACGGCGUGCAUAUCGUGUGCGCCGUAAAAGACGGUCAUUUACGGCAUGUUUUUUUGUGCGCCGUAAAAGACGUCCAUUUUUUGUCUUUUACGGCGUGCUUUUCAUGUGCGCCGUAAAUGACAUAUUACAUUUACGACAUACUUUUUUUGUGCGCUGUAAAAGACUAAUUUUUUAUCUUUUACGGCGUGCUUUUCACGUGUGCCGUAAAUGAUGUGUUUCUUAACAAUCCCGCUCAGCCAUUUUUAGCUAAAUUCUAAUUUCCCACCAAACCUUUUUACUCUGACAUUUUUUUUUUAAAAGAUAAAAACUCAGGCCAAACCCGGAUCUCUUCAGACUCUCCAUCUCUCGUCUCGUUUCCUCUUCUUCUCUUCAUCCUCGCUCGAUGCCAUCCCAUCGAUCUAAAGGCCGAAGCCAAUAAUCCUGUCAUUAGGUGAGUGAAUAUGUCUCUCCCAAAUUCAGUUGGGGUCUCUCUCUCUCUUCUUUGCUAUGCGCGGCCCUUCGAGGCUUCCAACGCCAGACGUGUAUGCAUCAAUUGCUUCUCUCUCCGUCCUCUCUCAGGGGUUGAAGUAGUUUUUGCAAUAGAGAAAGCUGCGGUGGAGAUAUGACUUCUGUUCGCUGACGGUGCUCUCGGGCCGUCUAUCAAACUCAACUCGGGGCUGGAUUAUUACAUAGAUGUUGAUUAUCAAGUGGGUGAUGGCUUCUCUUUCAGUGGAGGUGUCUAUUCUCUUUUCCACUACCUCUUUUAUUUGCUAAAUGGCCUUUCCAAGUUUUUCAGUACUAGUAACUGAGGAAGUGGGUAAGUUUUUGACAGGAAAGUAUUCAUAUGGACCAAGCCCUUCUGAUGAAUGGUUCAAGCAGGGGAAGAUAGUCCGAUCUUGGACUUGCAAUGGGUGCUGAUUCUCAGGCAGCUGCUGAUGUUUUUAGGUAAAUUUGUACAUUUAGCUUUAGAGGACUAGCGGUUGGCAUGUUUGAAACAGUGUGGUUUAUACUUUUAUAGUAUAUGAGUCAUGCAGACAAUGAGUGUGGAAUUUGCAGGGUUUACCAAUUGUCUCACUCUACAAUAAUUUCACUUUUAAGAGAGUUAUUGAAGUUGUUAUUUUGGCUUUCCCCAUCUGCUAAUUUGUAGGUGGUCUUCUUUCUUAUAUUUAAGCAGGGGCCUACUGGUAUUCAGUCUGCCAAUUUGUAGGUUUCUUCCAGUUCAUUAAGAAAAAUGAUUUCAUUGUAGUUGUAUUAUUUACUCGAUCUUGUCAUUCAUAAAGAUUGUUUUAGUUUUUUACAUAAAGUUCUGUAUUCUAUUUUGUUGAAGUUAAUAAUUUCAUUGUGGAGACCCAAGUUUCAAAGAUAUAUUAUGAUUUCUUAUAUAUGAUAUUGUUUUUAUAUAUUACUAUUUUUAAUUAUGAUUACUUUCCUUUCAGUCGUAUAACUGAAGGAUAUUUUCUUUUAUUCCAACUUCCUUAAUAUAUUUGAAAUUGUAAGAAAAUUCUGCCCAAUCCAUUUUAUUUGCUCAUUCUAUCGUUUCACUCUAAGUCAGACCCUUUCUUUCUUUAGAAGUACUUGGUAGAUAAUCAAUUGGAAUGGAAAAAUUGGUUUAGCUUGAGAUGGCAUGGAUUUUGAUGGAGUUGGAAGAAUCAUAUGUCAUUUGCUGUUCUCUUUAUGCAACAGCUCCUACUCUUCUUAUUUUCACUCUCUGCGCGCAACUCCUCCUCGGUAUUUGCCAAUUCCUAUCAUUUCAGUCCAUCACCAUCUCUCCUCUUAUCCACUACUCAAGGAUUUAUCUUGAUCAGACGAUUUAACUUCUUUCUUAAUCUCUUCCUUUCCCAAAGUCUCUCUCUACUUGUUCAUAUCAUUCUCUC